GGUUCCCUGACCCUCAUAGGCUGUGCCGUCUUGAGCAGAAGGCCAGGCUGUGUGGGCACAGAGGAGCCUCGUCCCAGCCAAGCCUGGGUGCCGAGAAGCACACAGUGGCUUUUGGGACAUCGAGCCGCACCUGUGGAGGGGGUUUUAGGGGCUGCUUCUCGCCAGGUUAAUUAAGCUCUGGCGUUUCCUCUGCUGGUUCUUGUAUCAAGGGUUUUUCCCUUCCUUUCACUCUCUGCCUCCUCCUUGUGCAGACCCUCUUGUUGCCAUCCUGCUUGCUUCAUCCUUUUGCUCCUGAUGGUCGGAAGACAAACGUUCUGUAUCUACCUCCCCAGUGCAGGUCACUUGGGGGGGCCUCCUUUCUGUCCAGCUCAGCUGACUGAAGAACGUGACCUGAUCCUUGUAACCUCCCCACAGACCCCUCCCCUCCCUCUCUCUCAGUUGGGCUCACCCCACCUCGCUUUUGGCUGUCCUUGCUUCAGACCCUUCAUCAGAAAGGGCCAGCUCAUCGUGUGCGUUACACUUGGCCAUGGGCGGAUGGGCGGAGGCACAUGAAGGUGAAUAGAUGCGAUCCCUGUCUUCAGGAGACUCUAAUCUCCUGCUCACCCCUGCCUCCCUCCCCAGCCCUGCUGUCCUUGCCCCCUGAGACCUGGCACCUCUUCAAAGAAUGCUCCCCUGCACUCCCCAGCUCACCGAGGCUGUCCUUCUUUUAAACUGUCAUGACACUUGUGGGACCCCUGCCAUGGCCCUGGCUGUAAUCCACAUUGCUUUGGACUUUUUUUGAUGUCCCCUAUACCACCUGCCUUAUCUCCUCUAUCAGACUUUAAGCUCUUUUAAGGCAGGGCUGUGUGUUGCUCCUUGUUGUGUUCCGUGCAGUCCCUGCUCAGUGUCUUACACACAGUAGGUGCUCAGUAAGUGUUACCAGAUUGGAACCAUCAUGGACUCUUCUGCGGCUCCCAGCAUCCGUGCCUUUUGUGGCCGUGGUCCUCAAGUCUUGAGAUGACAGAAAAGAAUGGGGGAGAGGCAGAGAGUAUUUGCCCAGAAGAAUCCUAGUGGGUUUUCUUCAGGUAGGAGCAAGUCACAAAAGUGCUAAAAGCUGAAAUAUUACAGUAUUUUUCAGAUUCUCCUAUUAGCCUUACCCUUUUAUCAACCUACUUUCAUGAAGAGGCAGAAGGUAAGUUUUCCGAUGCUUUCCUGCCAGGACCCCAGUCUUCCUUCCUUGGUUUUGCGUGAUUAACCACAGUGUAAAUAAUUCAUAUAAUGCUUAGAAGAAGAAGUUCCGUAAAACUUAUGUUAUCAGAGGGAUUGGUUCCCCUAAGGAGGAUACUGGGAAUAACCAUUGGUUUAAAGAUAAGAAUCUCUGACGGAGUUCCCGUCGUGGUGCAGUGGUUAAUGAAUCCGACUGGGAACCAUGAGGUUGUGGGUUCAAUCCCUGGCCUUGCUCACUCAUGGCAACGCCGGAUCCUUGCCCCACUGAGCGAGGCCAGGGAUCGAGCCUGCAUCUUCACGGAAACUAGACAGGUUCAUUACUGCUGAGCCAUGAUGGGAACUCCUGUCUGUGCUUUUGAGUCUGAUUAGAACUGGAUUUCACAGGAGGGGCUGUAGCUGCCCACUUGCUGCCUUUGCCCUUGGAAGGACUGCCCUGUGUCGCUGAUCCCAGGGGAUCUGGCUGGACUUACUCCCAGUCCAUGCAGCUGGGAAAGACUGCCUCUCCCCUGUCCUCACCAGGGCACCAAAAGGCAGAGGUGAUCCUUCUCAGCAGGAGGAUCCGAGUUUGCCAGCUCCUUUCUCUUGGGUCCCCUUGAACAGAGGCUGUCAGGUCGCCCAGGGCCUCAGGCUGGCGGCUGGCACGGAAGCGCGAGCAGUCUGCCGUGAACAGGGCUACAUGAACCCGCACCCUCCAGCAGGCAGAGACACAUGACAGCUGUGCGGGGACUUGGCUGUAGAAGUCGGGAAGCCAAGCUUCCUGCUUGGAGCAGUGGCUCCUGUGAGGCAGGAUGGAAGGAGAGGAUGCAUGAGAACUUCAAUUCGUGAGGAGAGAACUCCCAGGGGGCUGAGAGUCCCGUGUGCCACAGAGGCUCGCUGGAACUAAAAAAGAUGGCUUUUGAAUUUAAAAACCAGUAGAAGAACUGAAAUUGGUGGUUUGGAAGGUCAAGUAGAAGAAAAGCAUCACAGCCCAAAAAGUGAUAAAAAGAAAUGGAGAUAAUGAGUUACAGUGUAAGACGCUGUCCAUGAGGGGAGUCCUCGGAGACCUUGUCCAGGGCCCUGGCAGGGGAGGCCUGGGCGUUCUGGAAGGACAGAAAGGAACAGACGGAGGUAAUAGUAGAACAGUGGAAGAAAAUGUCGCCGCAUUGAAGACAGAGUGGAUUUUUCAGACGCCGUGGUUCCACGCAUCCCACACUAAGACCAGCGCUUGGACCUAUUUUCUGAUAAAAUUCCUAAACUCCAAGAAGAAAGAGAAAAAUCUUAAACGUUUCGUAGGAAGAAAGAACAGGUUGGUUUCAAAGCAGAGAGAAUUAGGCUCUCCAUGGGCUUCCCAUAUGCAGCCCUGGAGGCUGGAGGCUGGUGGCCCCGUGUCUCCAGAACAUUGGAGGGAGGGGGCCACAGCCCUCCCUGCACCAGCCAAGGUGUCGCCGUCACCGCGAAGAAGGACAUUUCAAACAUGUGAGGCCGUAAAGCAGUCAUUAUCUGGUGAGUGUGCCUGAGGAAAAUGCCCAGUGAGGUUCUCUCACCCAAAGACAGAGCAGAGACUCGGGGGUGGGGACGCUGAGAGGGCAGAAGACCCCCUAGUGCAUGCAGUUUAAUCUCGACUGACAUUGCUGCUGUGAGUUGGAAUUUUUAUUGUGUGUUUUUAAGCAUAUUGAUUGAUGGAUUGAUUUUGUCGUUUUUGUCGAUUUAGGGCCCCACGCAUGGCACGUGGAGGUUCCCAGGCUAGGGGUCCAAUCAGAGCCAUAGCUGCUGGCCGCAUACACCACAGCUCAUGGCAACCCUGGAGCUUAACCCACGGAGCGAGGCCAGGGAUCAAACCCGCAACCUCAUGGUUCCUAGUUGGAUUGGUUUCCGUUGCACAAUGGGAACUCCAAGCAUUUUUAAAAUCGAGGAAAACUGUAUAGGAAAACAUAAUAAGCUGAAAAUAAAAAUUGUAAACCGUCUCUGUGAAACCUAAGGCUUUGGGAGAAAGGAUGGGUGAGUGGGGAAAUAAGUGUUUCACUUUUAACAGACUUAAAUAAACAGAUAAAUAAAACAUAAAGGCAUAGUUUUUAAUGUGUGUUACAAAAAGAGAAAUAAAGGUUCAGUUUUGACCUUUGGGGAUCAGAGAGUAUUAGUUAGGACUAGAUUUUGUUGCAUGUAGUGGAUAAUCCCUGACUAACAGUGGCUUAAACACAUAAAGGUUUAUACCAUUUCAUGAAAAAGUAGAGAGGUUGGUACAGUGGAAUCAGAGUCAUCACAGAGCCAGGUUCCUUAUAUCUUGCUGCUCUUCCAGCCUUGCCAGAUUGGCUUCUGACUCAAAAUGGCUGCUUGGACGCCAGUCAUCACAUCUGCACUCCAGAAGCCAGAAGGAGAAAAGGGAGAAGGAUGUGCCCCCUCCCUUUCAGACACGUCCUCAGAGGGCUAACACAGCACUGAAGUUCACACCUCCCGGGGCAGGCCUUUGCCGCACCAGAUGCAGGGGAGGCGGGGUGUGCUUAACUAAACGUAGGAGUUCUCUUG
rnacentral:lncRNA from 1 species